CUCUUAUCAAGAGAGGUGGAGGGACUGGCCCGAUGAAACCCGGCAACCAUCAAACGCAAUGUUUGAACGGUGCUAAUGCCUGUGGAACGACUGUUCUAAACGAUGAGAG
rnacentral:ncRNA from 2 species